UACGGGAGGCAGCGGUGGGGAAUAUUGCACAAUGGGCGAAAGCCUGAUGCAGCUAUGCCGCGUGUAUGAAGAAGGCCUUAGGGUUGUAAAGUACUUUCAUCGGGGAGGAAAAAACAAAACUAAUAAUUUUAUUUCUUGACGUUACCCGAAAAAGAAGCACCGGCUAACUCCGUGCCAGCAGCCGCGGUAAUACGGAGGGUGCUAGCGUUAAUCAGAAUUACUGGGCGUAAAGAGCACGUAGGUGGUUUUUUUAAGUCAGAUGUGAAAUCCCUGGGCUUAACCUAGGAACUGCAUUUUGAAACUGAAAUACUAGAGUAUCGUAGAGGGAGGUAGAAUUCUAGGUGUAGCGGUGAAAUGCGUAGAUAUCUGGAGGAAUACCUGUGGCGAAAGCGGCCUCCUAAACGAAUACUGACACUGAGGGUGCGAAAAGCGUGGGGAGCAAAACAGGGAUUAGAUACC
rnacentral:rRNA from 1 species